rnacentral:lncRNA from 1 species
AGGUAUACAUCUAUCCAUCCCUUUUUUUACUAAAUACCCCAAUAUCUAAUCACAAAUUAUUACUGACCAAUGAAUGAAUUACAUAAGUAAAAUAGAAAAUCAAAAAGCUAUCCUAUAGGGAGCCUUCCAUUUAGGCCAGGUUUCCCAAAGCCUCCAAUUGUCUCAUAAGCCUCAAUUCCAUAGACAAAAUCAGAGUAUAGGUGCAUCAAAGUUUCCCAAGGAUCUCAAGGAUCUCGAAAAAUGCUUACACCUAGACAUAGUAACCAAAGAAUUAAACAAGUGAAGUGUGGAAAGGCCAUCCUCAGUAUGCGCCAGAGUUCAGAGGGUUCUCAAAAGAAUCCCAAGGCAACACAUACUAGAGGGGGCAGAACUUAUGGACUAAGAGUAAAGUGAAAAGUGAAGGAUACAAGUUGAAAAGAUUUUAGUAAGACUGUACUUUACAAAAGUUGCUUUUGAAAGUAAUUCAGUAAAGCAACAAAAAUUGUUUUAAAAAGAGAUUGGAGUAGUUAAAAAAGUUCAAACACCUUAGGAUAGGAUCAUACACAUCUAGUUCAUAAAACCAAGUGAAUUUAGUAGUCACACACACUGGUCAAGGGGUUUAGGAUACAAAGAACAUUUGGAUGCAAACACAUAACCCAACAAAGGUCUUAUGACUUGUUUAGACAUGCUUAGAGAUAGUUGACACUGGCAUAGUCACAGAACUAGUCAUGAAGAACACAAACACAUAGAGGGGUGAUAGGGAUUUGGGGAUCUAUGGGAUAUAGGAUGGUAAGUAACAAUAAGUAAGAGACAAUUGGUAAGGCAUGUUCAUAAACACACAUAAAGGGGAAUGUACUAAUCUAUAGGAAGGGGAAGACAUAAUAACAUGCUGAUAAUACUACAAAUUUCACAACAUAACCACAAAUAGAAGCAAACUAGAAACAAGAGAAACUAAAACAAUAGUAGAAGCAUGUUGUUGUUGGAACUUUGAAUUGAAACUAGGACAUACCGGUGAAGAGGAGAAUAAGCAGAAUAAAAGAACAAAAUAGCAUAAUUGGUUAGCCUUGGCUUGCAGCUGGCUAACUGUCGCUAAUAGCACAAGAGAGAUGGCAGAGAUUUUUUAGUAUAAGAGAUAGUUUUUGAACCCAAGUGUUCGUGUCUUGUGCUAAUGAAAGACUAGAGUACUUAUAAUUGAAAAUAGGUAGUAAAAUAAGAUAAGAAUCAUAGUAGCAUGGUAACUAUGGAACUUAGAAUCAGUCAGUCAACAAUCAAGGCAAGUACUCCCUUAAAUUAAGGGAGUUACUUUAAACGGUAAGAAUCAGUAACAUAUAAGGCAAGAAAAAAUCAGCAACUGACUAGUAAGGAAAGAAUCAUGGUUCAAUAAGCAUAUGGUAGCCAAUUAGGACCAAGUUCAGCAAACUCCAAUUAAGGAAAGGAUUCAGUCAAAAUAAAAUAUGACAUCAAAUAAGGUAGGGAAUCAGUCAAUUUAAUUAGACGAGGUAGAAUUUUAAGGUUUUAAUAGAAAAUAUUUCAAUCAAACCAUCUAUUAAGGAAAUCAAAAUUAAUCAAGAGGGAGUAAUGACUAUAUACUUCAACAUACAAAUAUAGAAGAUCAAACAAACAUAGCAAACAUGUAAGAUCAGCAAUAUUGACAGAAAGAGGCAAGAGAUGAACAAUCAAGAUGAAUAUAAUCAUAUAGGGGGUGAUAUAAAUAGACUACGGACUCAGUAAAACCCAUUAAUCAAUUAGUCAUGCUAAAUACAUAGCCAAAGCAAAGAAGCUAUAAAGAAAUUAGGGAUUUUAACAGAGGCGAGUUGAAAAAGUAGUAAGAACAUAGAACCAUUCAAGAUUUGCAAGGAAAAAGGUUUAAACAUAAAGAAACAGUUUAAACAAGUGUAGAAGAAACAUUGAGAAACCCUAAUUUUAAAGAAAGUAAAAAAGGCUUAAAGUUGAUGAUUUUUUCAAAAAAAGUUUAAGAAUAGUGUAGAACAUAGAAAGAAACAGGCUUGCAUCGUUAAAAAAAGCACAUAUCUGAGAGAUAUAAAUGAAAGUUAGGGUUUCAAAGGAAACCAAAUAAAAACGGAAGAACCUGCCAUAAACUUCAAAGAUCGUAACAAGUAUUGUGUGAUUUUGCCCAAAAUCACACCGGAGAAGCCAUGAACAACCAAAACAGAAAUCAUAGAUACAAAUCUGCGUGGACCAGGGCCUUUUAAGGCUUCAGAGAUGAUGAGUGAGGCGAUGGAGAAACCAUUGGAGGCUCUGGGUUGACAGGGGGGUCGCCGUAUAUGACCGGAGAAGGAGGCAAAGAUUGAAGGGGAUUAGUAUUAGGUUGAGAGAAGAGAGGAGAUGAGAGAGUUUGUGGGCGGCGGAAUCUCAAAAAUAAAAUAGGGUUAGGGUCUGUAGGAUUAAAAAAGGAAAGAGCUCAUUUGCACUGUUGAUCUCGAAAAUUAACGGUCAGGAUUUGACCGGGUAGAUGAUUUUCGGGUUUGCGUAGGAGUUUAUAGGCCAGUAUCGGGUUAAUUUGAUAGGAAGUUGGGUUUGGGAGUGGGUUCAAAUUAGGCUAGAAUUGAAAGCCAAAUCUGGCUAUGAAUUGAAUAGCCAAUUUUCCUUAUUUUAAUUUAUAAAGAAUAGUAAGUAAUUUCUGGAAAAUAAAUUAAUAUGCCAAAAUGAUUCAAAAUAUGUAAUUAUCAUAUUAGAAUAUAGGGACCAAUUUUAUGCACAUAAAAGGUAAUUAUACCUUAAAAGGGAUAAUAUUGCAAUUAUAUUAUAUUUAACUUAAAAAUACUAAAUGUAAUUAUAAAAAUGUACGAAAAAUAUAUUAGCCAUAUUUUGGCAUAAGUAUUAAAUUGAAAUGAAUAUAUCAUCAUAACAAUAAUUUUGGAAAUAAUUAUUGGGAAUUGUAUGAAUAAAAAGGGAGAAAUAAAUUAAUUUAAACCCUUAAAAUUAUGAAACAAAUUAUAAAACCUUGUGCAUGCUUAUAUAUGAUAUAUAUGCUAUUUUGAAGAUAUUUAUGCAUAUUUAGAAUAUAUAGGGAAAAAUUGGAUAUCAACAUUGCUUUCCUUGAAUCACAGGGAUAUUACAUGAAACAUCUUCCGUGGCAACACCCUAGCAGAAUGGGGUGGUUGAGAGAAAGCGUAGGCGCCUUUUAGAGGUUGCAAGGGGUAUAUUUAUUUAGUCUAAGUUCCCUAUUCAAUACUGGGGAGAAUAUGUUCUAACAGCCACUAAUCUCAUUAACAGAAUACCUUCUAUAGUUUUGAAAGGAAAAACACCUUAUGAGGUUCUAUUUGGGAGAUCAUCUAACUAUGACUCACUUAGAUCUUUUGGAUGUCUAUGUUAUGCAUCUACUUUGACUCAUAAUAGGAGUAAGUUUUAGCCAAGAGCUAAGAACUGUGUAUUCUUGGGCCAGGCACUAGAUAAAAAGGGUUAUAAAGUUUUGGAAAUUGAAACAAGAAAAGUGUUUAUUUCUAGGGAUGUCAAGCUCUAUAAAUAUCAUUUUUCAUUCACUUUGUCAACCAUAAAACCUCAGCCUUUGUUUUUCCCUUCUACCAUAUCAUCUGACAAUCAACCAUCUAUUCAACCACCUAUCACCAUUAUGUCUACACCUGAAGCAGUUUCAGCUGACUACCCUUUAUUUUUUACCCCUAGCAGGACAUCUGGGAUAGCGAUCAAACCACUAACUAUCCUUAUCCCUCUUUCCCCUUGCUAAGCUUUGGCCUAUCCAACUUACCACAUCCUUCACUUAAUACAUCAUCAACCUAUGAACCUAUCACUCUCAAUCCUCAUAUCCCAUCCGCUCUUCACACUUUUCACAUUCCACUAUCUCCAAUCAGAAAAUCUGAUAGGAUUACUCAAAAAUCAGCAUACCUCAAUGAUUAUGUGUGCAACAUCAUAUUCCUCACUAACCUCAACUCCUCAUGUUUCACUCAGUCAUUUAAAACUACUACUUUCUCCUUUGGAUCUCUCACACUAAAUAAUCAAAAUGUUCUAAAGAGUGUGUCCACCAUUUCAAAACCAACAAGCUAUUAUGAAGCUUGUAAGGAGGCACAUUGGAGAAAGGCAAUGGAGGCAGAAAUUGCAGCUCUAGAGCUGAAUCAUGUUUGGAAUAUGGUAACCUUACCACCAGGCAAGAAGGUCUUAACAUACAAGUGGGUUUACAAAGUUAAACAUAAGUUAGAGGGUACUAUAAAAAGUCUGAACGCCAAGUUGGUGGUGAGGGGGGACAUACAAAAUUGAAGGAAUUAACUACGUAUAGACAUUUUCUCCUGUAGUAAAAAUGACCACAAUUAGAUGUCUCUUAACAAUAGAUGUAAUGUGAACAAUUCAUUUUAUUAUGGAGACUUGCCAGAAGAAGUCUACAUGAAAUUUCAUGCUGGUUUUUCCCUCCUAAUUCUACUAAAGUGUGUUUACUGAGAAAAUUAUUAUAUGGUUUAAAGCAAGGCUCUAAGUUAGUGGUAUGCAAGGCUUGCUGAGGUACUAAGCUACAAAGGUUAUUCAACUUUUCUCAAUGACCAUUCAUUGUUCUACAAACAAUCUGGGGAUUUAAUUUCUACCAUAGCAGUCUAUGUCGAUGAUGUUUUGCUUAUUGGCAUUUAUAUUGAAGGAAACAAUCAAAUUUUAACUUUUCUCAAUACAUAAUUUAAGGUCAAACAUUUAGGAUACACUCAUUAUUUCCUAAGAAUAAAAAUUCUUUGAGUAAAACAAGGGUUCGUUAUUUUUCAAAGGCAAUUUACCUUGGAUCCUUUGAAGGAACUUGAUUACUCUGGCUCGGCAGUGUCUUCACCACUUGACCCUUAUUCCAAGCUCUGCGCUGAUGUUGGGCCUCUUCGUUCAGAUCCCAGCCUUUACAGGUAUUUGGUAGACAAACUUAAUUACCUCACAAAUACCCGUCCUGACUUAUAAUUUGUUGUGCUUUGCCUUAGUCAAUUCAUGCAAAGGCCUGCCUUUCUCAUUUCACUGCUGGCUUGCGUGUUCUACGCUAUUUGUCUGCAGAUCCUUCACAAGGAAUCUUUCUAUCCCCAUGCCCUUUAUUUAAUUAGAUUGCUUUUUGUGAAGCCGAUCGAGCGGAUUGCAAAGACUCUAGGAGGUCUAUCAGUGGAUUUUUCAUCAUGCUUGGCAGAGCUCCAAUCUCCUAGAAAUAGAAAAGGCAGACGUCAAUAUCACUUUCAUCUGCAGAGGCAAAAUAUAGGUCUAUAUUGCAGAAAUUACCUGGUUGGUAUGCCUUCUUGCAGAUCUAUCUUCUCCACCUUCUUUUCCUAUUCUAAUUUAUUCUGAAGCCAAGAAGCGAUUGCCUGUAACUCUGUCUUUCACGAGCGAAUCAAGCAUAUGGAGCUCGAUUGCCAUAUAAUUUGCCAACAAUAUUUCUCAGGUUUUAUAACCCUUUCUUUCGUCCCACCGCAGCAACAACUCGCCAACCUUUUCAUCAAACCUCUAUGGAGAGCUUCACAUAAUCUAAUCUUAUACAAGUUGGGGGUACAAUUUCUCUCCUCCAACUUGAGGGGGUGUGAGAAGAAGGAAGGCUUAUAGAUUUUGAUCAAUGAAAGAAAGAAAGGGAAAGAGCUGAGUUUCAG